CCGUCUCUGGGGUCGCACCGAGUUGGACACGACUGAAGUGACUUAGCAGCAGCAUAUACCAUCAUGAUCAAGCAUGCAGCCUGUGGAAUCACACUGCCUGAGUUAAAAUCCAGGUUUUUGCCAGUUAGUAGCUGGAUAAGUUAACAAGUUAUCUGAACAUCUCAGGCCUCUGUUUCAUCAUCUGUUAAGUGGGAAUAAUAAUAAUUGUACCUACCUCUAAGGUAUUUGGAGGGUUUGAUAAGAUACACAAAGACUUUGGUGUAGUGCUUGGCUCAUUGUUAAGUACUUUAUACAUGUUACUUUUUCUUUUUUUCCAUUCUCCUGCUCCCCCCUGCCCCCACUGCCACCAAUGAGAAAGAUCGUGGCAGAAAAAUCCUCAUUCUGCCCAAAACCAAGGGUGACAAAGGAGACAGCAUCUAGUCCAUGGAAAUUGAAUAAUUGCAUUUUCCUUUUAAGUGAGAGGAUGCAGUAAAGAAUCUAAUUUGCAUGCAGGAUCUUAGUUCCCUGACCAGGGACUGAACCCAUGCCCUUGAAGUGGAAGCACAGAGUCCCAACUACUGGACUACCAGGGAAUUCCCACUCAUCACCUUCUUAUAUGUAGCACCUUAAUGAUCAUCCAAAGACUGUGGAUCUCAGGAUUGUCCAUUGGAAAAAAUACAACCAUUGUAUAUGUGCUGUGCUUAGUCACUUCAGUAGUGUCCGAUGCUUUUCGACCCCAUGAAAUGCAGCCCUCCAGGCUUCUCUGUCUAUGGGGAUUCUCCAUGCAAGAAUACUAGAGUGGGUUGCCUUGCUCUCCUCCAGCGGUUCUUCUCAACCCAGGGGUUGAACCCAGGUCUCCCAUAUUGCUGGUGGAUUCUUCACCAUCUGAGCUACCAGGGAAACCCCAAAUUCAAUAAUUUAAUUCUAUGCACUGCUCUCCCUACCCCCACCCAAAAUUCCAUCCCAUUUCUAAAAGUCAUGUGUGGACAGUUGAACAUCCUUUGGGACUCAGCACUACUUAAAAGCAGGAAAAGGACUCUUUACUAAACCAAUUCACCACAUUUAGAGACCAGCAACCUUUCUCUCAUAUGCCUAUUAUUUGGAGAAAUGAUUCAAGCUCAGGUAGCUGGUCAGCUGGUACCCUACCUGUCACUGCAACCUCCUGUUGCACACUCAUCAGCAGACCUGGCGUAAAGCGUCUCAGGGGGUCACGUGGCUGGGAGAAGAAGGAAGACACAGCUACCCCACAGAGACACCCCGUCCAGGUCUACAGGACAAGGAGGCAUUUUGUGACCGGUGGAAGACACAAGUGUCUCCUGUCACCUUCUUUGUAUACGUGAUGGUGAAAACAGGAGAAAAUGCACAGACCAGAAGACACCCAGACAGUGGGCUGUUCUCACUGACGACAUUUGUGCCGCAUUCCUCCUUGCCCCUGGAGUGCAUUGCGACACUCAGACUGGUGGUUCUGGGAGCCAAGCAGCUGAUGGGGGAGCCUCAGGAGGCAGCAGAGACAAAUUAAUCUUCAGAUCCACCAGUUCCCCUGAAACAUACCACUUGCUAAACUGAAUUUCAAGCCAAGAGCGGCAAUUUUCCACAGCCCAAGUCUGGAAAAGUCUGUGAAACCACAUUGGGUUCGAAACCAAAGUUGGUUUUUUGCUGUUUUUUGUGGAGCACCAGAGGGACAACUCCAGAAUUCCAGAUGUGAGGCAGCUGGAGGGACGUGUGUGUACAGGCAUCUGCACAGCAGCUUCAGAAAAGUGACCACGGACAGCAGCUAAAAACCACCACUGACAACCUUCUUUCUCUUUUCUUAUCUGAACCUCUGGACUUACUUGUCUGAAAAGAGAGAGAGAAAAAAAAAAGCUGGCACUCAUUGUUUUGUUUUCUCAAUUUUCUUGUCAACUGACUCAUGAUAAAAGAAUGUCCUUUUCAAUCAAUUUCAAUUCCGCAGAACAGAAAAAUAGAGAAUUUAUAGGCAACUAUUGGAAACAAAGGAACCAUCUGUUUUUUUAAGUAUAAUUUUUCUCUGAAAUAGUUCUCUCCAAAUACUUGGAUCAUUUAUUUUCCCUCACCACACCACUCUGCAGUGACCCAGAGAACCCCAUUGUCCAACCCAGAUUAUCAGAUAUUCUGAAGGGAUGAUGAAAUGUGUCAACAAAGACUCCAUCUGCUGUUAUAUAAGCAUCUCUAUGCUCAAUAAAAGAGAAUGAUUCUAAGCUCUAGUUAUAAAGAACCAUGACAAAAAAAAUAUGAAAAUUUUCUAGGCAAAAAAACAGGCUGUUAGUUUAUUUUAAAUAAAUAUUUUAGUGAGAGUGGUUUUGUUUCAGCAUACUGAAAAUACUAAGUCCUAGAUUAUGAACCACCCCCCCCAUUAUAUAAAUAGAUUAGAAGGGCAUGUUGGAUAUGAUCUCAUUCCUUCAUUUGCUCAUUCAUUUACUCAAAAAGUAUUUACAUUUCUUUAAUAUUUAAUGUAGUGCUUAAUAUAAUGUUGUAGAUAAUAAAUAUGACUUGAGUUUA